AAUCAACGCUGGCGGCGUGCCUAACACAUGCAAGUCGAACGCGAAGGUGGAGCAAUCCAUGAGUAGAGUGGCAAACGGGUGAGUAACGCGUGGGCGACCUACCUUCGAGUGGGGGAUAACCUUCCGAAAGGAGGGCUAAUACCGCAUGACAUCCCGUGUUUGGAUACACGGACAUCAAAGCCGGGGAUCGUAAGACCUGGCGCUUGAAGAGGGGCCCGCGUCCGAUUAGCUAGUUGGGGGGUAACGGCUCACCAAGGCUCCGAUCGGUAUCCGGCCUGAGAGGGCGGACGGACACACUGGAACUGAGACACGGUCCAGACUCCUACGGGAGGCAGCAGUGGGGAAUUGUUCGCAAUGGGCGCAAGCCUGACGACGCAACGCCGCGUGGAGGAUGAAGACUUUCGGGUC
rnacentral:rRNA from 1 species